rnacentral:rRNA from 1 species
AGGUGUGGGUCUCAACCAACGAGAUCCGCGCCGUCGCUAACGCAUUAAGUGCCCCGCCUGGGGAGUACGGUCGCAAGACUAAAACUCAAAGGAAUUGACGGGGGCCCGCACAAGCAGCGGAGCGUGUUGCUUAAUUCGAUGCAACGCGAAGAACCUUACCUGGGUUUGACAUGUCCGGAAAAGCUCUAGAGAUAGGGUGUCCUUCGGGGCCGGACACAGGUGGUGCAUGGCUGUCGU